UUUGAGAAAUUCUCAAAGAUAGCACUAAAUUUAAGUUUUUCAUCCAAAUUUUAGCAGACAUUUUCAUAUUUUCUGAAAUUAGCACUACAUUUUGAUAAUACAAAAUGUUUAACUCAAAUAUCUUACUUGCUUGCUCUUUUAAAAGAUUUGGAAAACUUACUUGCAUUGGAGGUAAGAGGAGACAAAUCUAACGAAAAAAAAA
rnacentral:lncRNA from 1 species